AGAGACCGGCGCACGGGUGCGUAACGCGUAUGCAAUCUACCUUUCACAAAGGGAUAGCCCAGAGAAAUUUGGAUUAAUACCUUAUAGUAUAUAUGAAUGGCAUCAUUUAUAUAUUAAAGAUUUAUCGGUGAAAGAUGAGCAUGCGUCCCAUUAGCUAGUUGGUAAGGUAACGGCUUACCAAGGCAACGAUGGGUAGGGGUCCUGAGAGGGAGAUCCCCCACACUGGUACUGAGACACGGACCAGACUCCUACGGGAGGCAGCAGUGAGGAAUAUUGGACAAUGGGCGCAAGCCUGAUCCAGCCAUGCCGCGUGCAGGAUGACGGUCCUAUGGAUUGUAAACUGCUUUUAUACAGGAAGAAACACUUGCUCGUGAGCAAACUUGACGGUACUGUAAGAAUAAGGAUCGGCUAACUCCGUGCCAGCAGCCGCGGUAAUACGGAGGAUCCAAGCGUUAUCCGGAAUCAUUGGGUUUAAAGGGUCCGUAGGCGGUCAGAUAAGUCAGUGGUGAAAGCCCAUCGCUCAACGGUGGAACGGCCAUUGAUA
rnacentral:rRNA from 1 species